AACGAACGCUGGCGGCAUGCCUAACACAUGCAAGUCGAACGAAGGCUUCGGCCUUAGUGGCGCACGGGUGCGUAACGCGUGGGAACCUGCCCCUCGGUUCGGAAUAACAGUUAGAAAUGACUGCUAAUACCGGAUGAUGACUUCGGUCCAAAGAUUUAUCGCCGAGGGAUGGGCCCGCGUAGGAUUAGCUAGUUGGUGGGGUAAAGGCCUACCAAGACGACGAUCCUUAGCUGGUCUGAGAGGAUGAUCAGCCACACUGGGACUGAGACACGGCCCAGACUCCUACGGGAGGCAGCAGUGGGGAAUAUUGGACAAUGGGCGAAAGCCUGAUCCAGCAAUGCCGCGUGAGUGAUGAAGGCCUUAGGGUUGUAAAGCUCUUUUACCAGGGAUGAUAAUGACAGUACCUGGAGAAUAAGCUCCGGCUAACUCCGUG
rnacentral:rRNA from 1 species